ensembl:miRNA Gm26119 predicted gene, 26119
AGACACCUCUCCUCUGGCAGGGAAGGUGCCCGGAUGUCUGGAGCUCGAAAAGGGUUCUGCCUCAGAAAUUCUGUGGCUCCUGCCUGUCCCAGAAGCUGUUAGCU